rnacentral:lncRNA from 1 species
UCGUUUGGUUGAUGAUUUAUUCACUUGAAAGUGGUUAAGUUUAGGAACUUUAAAGGAGAUUUUUUUUCUUUUUAAUGUGGUUUGGUAGGUAACUUAGUUGGUUGAAAAUGGUUGAAUAUGAGAACUUUAAAGGUGAUUUUUUAUUUUGAAUGUGGUUUGGUAGGUGACUUAGUUGGUUAAAAUGGUUAAGUGUAGAGAAUUUAAAGGUGAUUUUUUUGUUUUGAAUGUUGUUUGGUAGGUGACUUAGUUGGUUGAAAAUUGUUAAGUUUAGGGACUAUAAAUGGGAUUUUUUUUGUUUUGAAUGUGGUUUGUUAGGUGACUUAAUUGGUUGAAAAUGGUUAAGUGUAGGGGAUUUUUUUGUUUUGAAUGUGGUUGGAUAAGUGAAUUAGUUGGUUUAAAAUG